UCCAGUAGAUGGUGCUAUAGCACAAUUUUUCCCCCAACCCGCACUACUGGUUCUUUGGAGCUACAGUUGUGGUGAUGGGGUGUUGCUGAGGCCCUGGGGAUUGCUGCCUAGGUGACCGGGGUGGUAGGUAUCCCUCCUGUAUCUUGGUUGACUAGAUCUCACGGCACCACCCCCCUGGUUGAGGAUGUAGUGGGUGACGAUGAGGGGAACAGGGAGCACUGUGGUUUAGGUAGUCCAGACUCGUCUUCACUGCUACUUCGGCACCAGUGGGGGAUCAGGGAGUUUGAUUCUUGGUGCCUACAGUAGAAACCCUUACUCUCUGCUGGGUUGUAGUGAGGCUGCAUCCCAACCAUUUCACUGCUACCGCCUUAUCUGGGGCCUAGGUGGCCAGGGAAUUCUGUGGGCACCUUCCCUGUCCUGCUGCCAUGUAUUCCAAUAUGUCCACUUUCAGAUAUACAGGUAUGUGGAUCUCUGGUGUGUUUAGAGAAGAAACUGUUGGAUUAUAGGUAUCGCCCCAGUUGUAAAUUUAAGGGGGAGAUACAAAGGAGUUUUCUAACAACCAUAAUGCUUAUGAUCUUUAUUUGUACUGUACCUUAAUUUUAUUCCCUCCAAAUUCCCUGGUAUCUUCUAUUAUCAAUCUCCUGAAAUGAUCUAAUUUUUUACUAGUAUUAUCACCAGACUGAGCUUCCACCAACAACUCAAUUUAGUUUUUCCCACCCUGAAACUGGGUCUUUAGAUUUAUGCUUAUGGGUUUCUGCUCCAGUAAGUUGUGAUUCAAUUUUGGUCUCCAAUUUAGUGGGUUAGUGGUUUGUCUUGCGACCUCACCUCUCUUACGGAUUUAAAAAGAGCUGUUAAUUUUUCAGUUUGUUGAUAGGAUUGGAAUGGCGAUUUCCAGGUUCCUUACAUGCUGAACUAGAAACCACAAGUCAUUCAAGUAACACAUUUGGCCUGAGCCAACAAGAAUUAUAAUACACAGUACAAAUAUAAUUUUAAGAUAAUCCUCUUUAUAUUACCAUGAACUAUCUUUUCAGGGAAAAGACAAUGUAUUUAUCCUGUGAAUCUGAUAACCUUUUUAGCCUUGAUAAAAUCCCAUCCCACAUGC